rnacentral:rRNA from 1 species
AUACGUAGGGUGCGAGCGUUGUCCGGAAUUACUGGGCGUAAAGAGCUCGUAGGUGGUUUGUCGCGUCGUCUGUGAAAUUCCGGGGCUUAACUCCGGGCGUGCAGGCGAUACGGGCAUAACUUGAGUACUGUAGGGGAGACUGGAAUUCCUGGUGUAGCGGUGAAAUGCGCAGAUAUCAGGAGGAACACCGGUGGCGAAGGCGGGUCUCUGGGCAGUAACUGACGCUGAGGAGCGAAAGCAUGGAUAGCGAACAGGAUUAGAUACCCUGGUAGUCCAUGCCGUAAACGGUGGGCGCUAGGUGUAGGGGUCUUCCACGACUUCUGUGCCGUAGCUAACGCAUUAAGCGCCCCGCCUGGGGAGUACGGCCGCAAGGCUAAAACUCAAAUGAAUUGACGGGG